AGAGGAUGUUUGUGGAUUUACAGCUUUUAAGUAAAACAUUGAAAAAAAAAACUUUUGGAUAAUUAAAUGUGCUAUUGCUGCUCAUCGUAGUCAUAACCUCCUUACGGAUGUGAGAAUUCGCAGUAUUGUACUUACAAUCGACUCCAAAAGGUGAACAUAGCCAUGCGGUCUAACGCGUUAAUUCUACAUACAUAAUUGGCAUCGGAGUAUAGAUGGCUUGCAGCAAAUCAUAACCAUUAUAAGGGAAUCACGGCAAAACAAAUGGCAGUCCAUAUAUGAACAUAGCCAUGCGGUCUAACGCGUUAAUUCUACAUACAUAAUUGGCAUCGGAGUGUAGAUGGCUUGCAACAAAUCAUAACCAUUAUAAGGGAAUCACGGCAAAACAAAUGGCAGUCCAUAUAUGAACAUAGCCAUGCGGUCUAACGCGUUAAUUCUACAUACAUAAUUGGCAUCGGAGUGUAGAUGGCUUGCAGCAAAUCAUAACCAUUAUAAGGGAAUCACGGCAAAACAAAUGGCAGUCCAUAUAUGAACAUAGCCAUGCGGUCUAACGCGUUAAUUCUACAUACAUAAUUGGCAUCGGAGUGUAGAUGGCUUGCAACAAAUCAUAACCAUUAUAAGGGAAUCACGGCAAAACAAAUGGCAGUCCAUAUAUGAACAUAGCCAUGCGGUCUAACGCGUUAAUUCUACAUACAUAAUUGGCAUCGGAGUGUAGAUGGCUUGCAGCAAAUCAUAACCAUUAUAAGGGAAUCACGGCAAAACAAAUGGCAGUCCAUAUAUGAACAUAGCCAUGCGGUCUAACGCGUUAAUUCUACAUACAUAAUUGGCAUCGGAGUGUAGAUGGCUUGCAACAAAUCAUAACCAUUAUAAGGGAAUCACGG